rnacentral:tRNA from 1 species
GGAGAGGUGUCCGAGCCCGGUUUAAGGAGCACGCCUGGAGAGCGUGUGUAGGGUAAUCCCCUACCGCGGGUUCAAAUCCCGCCCUCUCCG